AAACUAAUUUAAUUUGGCGGCAUUUAAUCUAAUUAGAGGAAUUUGUCAAUUAAUCGAUAAUCCACGUUAAAUUUCACUUUACUUAAAAAUUUAUAUACCACCAUCUUAAGAACUAAUCUACAAAUAUUAUUCUUAAUAAAAUAUAAUAUGUUAGGUCAAGGUAUAGUCAAUAUUAAAGUUUAGAUGAAUUACUUUAAAAAUUAUUUAAGGAUUAUUAAUUAAAACAUUUAUCAAAAAGGAUUUAACAACAAUAUUAUAAUAAUAAUAUAAUAUGAUGUAGAUAAUAAAUGUGCACACAUCGCCC
rnacentral:rRNA from 1 species